UGAUAACCCGUGUGUGUGCCUGCGUGUGUGCGUGCGCAGUCAGAGUGGGACUCCUUCCUGGAGAGCGUGGACAGAGACCUGCAGACGACAGACAGACAGCUGUCAGGAGGAAAGAUGGCCGCCAGCCUGAGCCCCGAUACGGCCUUCACUGACGGGCGCAGCGGAGAGAGUGUGACUCUGGGUCAGUUCCUGGGUCGGGGGGAGAAGACUCUGCUGGUUCUCAUCAGACAUUACGGAUGACUGCCGUGACGAGACCACGUGGCCGAGCUGAAGGACAGACUGGCUGUCCUGGAGGCUCGGUCAGUGCGGGUCGUGGUCGUUGCUUUCGGUGGUUUGCAGGGAGCUCAGGUGUGGAGGGAGCAGACUGGAUCUACCUUCGACAUGCUGCUGGAUCCACAGA